UUCCGCCGCUCAGCACGGAGACCUUGCAACCCUUAGGGGAGGCAGCACGACAGUAAACAAAGCUUGCCGUUUGCAAGUCGGCCAAUCGGUCGGCAACACAAUCGAAUUGACGGGGACCUCCUAAAGCCUGUAACACCAACCGUCCGGGGAAACUCGGGCGGGGCCCUCACGGGGUGGUAAGAGAGUACAGGAUGUAACAAUGGACAAUCCGCAGCGAAGACUCUACCGGCUCCGGCCCACGGGUACCGUUCACAGACUAAGUGAUUGUGGGCGGGGCGAUCGUGCCCUGUCUAAGAUAUAGUCGGACUCUACCCGAAAGGAUAGAGGAUAGCGUGUCCGUAGGUGAACCUGCGGAAGGAUCAUUAAAGAAUGCCCCGUUUUUUGAAAUGGGUUCUAUUCCCAAACCGUGUAUACAUACCUUUGUUGCUUUGGCAGGCCGCCUUCGGGCGUCGGCUCACGCUGACCGCGCCUGCCAGAGGACCCAAACUCGAUUGUUUAGUGAUGUCUGAGUACUAUAUAAUAGUUAAAACUUUCAACAACGGAUCUCUUGGUUCUGGCAUCGAUGAAGAACGCAGCGAAAUGCGAUAAGUAAUGUGAAUUGCAGAAUUCAGUGAAUCAUCGAAUCUUUGAACGCACAUUGCGCCCCUUGGUAUUCCGAGGGGCAUGCCUGUUCGAGCGUCAUUAUGACCACUCAAGCCUAGCUUGGUAUUGGGGUUCGCGGUCUCGCGGCCCUUAAAAUCAGUGGCGGUGCCAUCUGGCUCUAAGCGUAGUAAUUCAUCUCGCUAUUGGGUCCGGUGGUUGCUUGCCAACAACCCCCAACUUCUAAGGUUGACCUCGGAUCAGG
rnacentral:sRNA from 1 species